rnacentral:rRNA from 1 species
GAUGAACGCUGGCGGCAGGCCUAACACAUGCAAGUCGAACGAGUGGGGGACGGGUGAGUAAUGUCUGGGAAAAUGCCCGAUGGAGGGGGAUAACUACUGGAAACGGUAGCUAAUACCGCAUACCAUCGGAUGUGCCAAGAUGGGAUUAGAUAGUAGGUGGGGUAACGGCUCACCUAGGCGGCCAUCCCUAGCUGGUCUGAGCGGAUGACCAGCCACACUGGAACUGAGACACAGUCCAGACUCGUGAGGGAGGCAGCAGUGGGGAAUAUUGCACAAUGUGCGCAAGCCUGAUGCAGCCAUGCGGGGUGUAUGAAGAAGGCCUUCGGGUUGUAAAGUACUUUCAGCGAGGAGGCGUUACUCGCAGAAGAAGCAUCGGCUAACUCCGUGCCAGCAGCCGCGGUAAUAC